rnacentral:rRNA from 1 species
AUUGAACGCUGGCGGCAUGCCUUACACAUGCAAGUCGAACGGUAACGGGCCUUCGGGUGCCGACGAGUGGCGAACGGGUGAGUAAUACAUCGGAACGUGCCCGAUCGUGGGGGAUAACGAGGCGAAAGCUUUGCUAAUACCGCAUACGAUCUACGGAUGACAGCAGGGGACCGCAAGGCCUUGCGCGGACGGAGCGGCCGAUGGCAGAUUAGGUAGUUGGUGGGAUAAAAGCUUACCAAGCCGACGAUCUGUAGCUGGUCUGAGAGGAUGAUCAGCCACACUGGGACUGAGACACGGCCCAGACUCCUACGGGAGGCAGCAGUGGGGAAUUUUGGACAAUGGGCGCAAGCCUGAUCCAGCCAUGCCGCGUGCAGGAUGAGGGCCUUCGGGUUGUAAACUGCUUUUGUACGGAACGAAAAGCCUUCUUUUAAUACAGGAGGGUCAUGACGGUACCGUAAGAAUAAGCACCGGCUAACUACGUG